rnacentral:lncRNA from 1 species
CUACGCCAGAGCCACAGCAACACGGGAUCCGAGCCUCGUCUGCAACCUACACCACAGCUCACGGCAACGCCAGAUCGUUAACCCACUGAGCAAGGGCAGGGACCGAACCCGCAACCUCAUGGUUCCUAGUCAGAUUCGUUAACCACUGCGCCACGACGGGAACUCCAAAUCAUGUGCUUUUUAAUCUUAAAAGUUUAUCUAUGUUUUUUGGAAAAUUUUGAGAUCUUGAUCUUCCAUUGCUUAUGUCAGUUUUAGCCUUUUCCCCUAUGUAAUUCGCUGUUGUCCACCAAUAAAUUAGAGACUGCUUGAGCACUCCUCGAGAGUGUCUGCGUCUCCAUUCUUCUUCCUGCACCUGCCGCCCCUCCUCUUCGGGACCUCCCCUGACCCCCGGGCGGGCAGGACCCCGGCAAUUUUGCUUUUGGCUGGUUACCCAGUACUCUAAAGGAUUUCUCCUGCCUGUACCUGACAGCAGUCUGAUUUUCCCCUUUUCCUCUUUCGUCUUCCACAUUCAGAUAUUUAGUGGUGACUUUGUUGGAAGGUAGAAAAAUGAAAAUGAUGCUCAUUGUCUGGAAGCACUAUUGCGCUUCUUCAUUUUUUUUUUUCUUCUCCAUUUCAAGCUAAGAGAAAGGAGGAAGAGAGGCAGAAAAGGAGUCAAAGAAGGACGGUGGAAAGGAGAGAGGAAGGAAAACGAAGGUUCCAGGAAAGACUCCAACCACCUGAGCAGCAUGUGCAGGGCCUCCAGCUGCUACAUCCUGAAGUGUGAUCCUGUCGCUGUCACAGUUGAAGGAAGACUGUGUCCCAGCAGUGCCUUGACUAAGAGGCCUCUCUCAGAGAUACGAGGGUGGCAUCGGAUGGCGCUCCAGCUACCACAAGUAAGGAGGGGUCUCACCACACCAGGCUAGGCCAGAACAUCCCCUCGAGUCUGCAGACAUUUCGGACAUAACCCCGUAUCCCACCAUAAAGAUAUUUAGAGAGUUCGCUGUGCUCAAGUGCAAAAUAAUCAGGUGAGGAUUUUGCACAGUCCCUAAGAAAUAGACAAUUCUCGUAGGUGGGGAAUGGACCUGACUUGCCAGAUGCCACCAAAACUCUAAUCAGACUUACAAUCUAGAAGGCUGAUUCCCCGCCCCCCACAAUGAGCUGCCUUGGACACCAGUUAAAUAGUCAUUCCUCAAAGGAUGUUUCCCUUACAACCUCCCUCCACCCCCCCUCCAAAACCAUUACCCACAUUCAUAAAGAGAUUGCCUCCCCCUAACCCUUGACUAUUAUCUCAGCACAAGAAGAAAUCUAUGCUAAAAAUAGAAAUUACCAUGUUUCCUAAGUGGCUCCCUAAACAGCAGGGAGCCUGAGUCCACUCUCAAUGCUCCCGGCCAAUCUGUUGGUCAAUAAAAUUUACUUGACGUCUCA